AUAAAUAGAAAUGAAAACACAGACUCAAAGUAGAGAAUUCAGGCUAGAUAUCUGGCGAGCAACAAUAUCCCACAUUCAUCCCCAUGUUAACAAGAAAACUGGCUUACAGUAUCCUGCAGCACAUACUGGGGAAAAGCAAAGCCUUUCAUAGAAAUCAAAUUUAAAGACUCACCUAAGGAUACUCAUAACAUGAGGAACAAAUUGCUGGAUGACAUGUGCCUGUGGUUCACACGGAAAUUCAAGAACAACACCGCUCUUCUGAAAGCUAUUUCAGGAUUCCACACGUCUUGUUGACAUUUGGAUACAAGGUUAAGCAGUGGUGUGCUGCUGAAGACAUCGAGACUCAGCAAAUAUAAAUGACUUGCUUAGGGUCAACAGAUGUUAAUGACCGUGGAGGAACUUGAACUCCAUCCAUCUGCUGCCAGGCUGGAGCUCUCUCUAUACCAGCCCAUGUGUAUUUGUGGUGAUGGAGGUUUCCAUCAGCUCUGAUUGUUUCAUCAUGUGUGCUAGGUGGAAUCACAACUAUCAGAACGUUUAAACAAGUCCGAAGUUAUGCUGCUGUCCGAGGUGUUUCCACAGGCUCCUGGGGCUCAGAUGUUCUCUGAGGUGUAGUUCUGGAACACCCACUUAUCCAAGGCUGGCAGGGAAGGAGAUAGCCUGCAAAAAUAAAAUGCCUAUGCAAUUGUUCAC
rnacentral:lncRNA from 1 species